rnacentral:rRNA from 1 species
UUGGAGGGCAAGUCUGGUGCCAGCAGCCGCGGUAAUUCCAGCUCCAAUAGCGUAUAUUAAAGUUGUUGCAGUUAAAAAGCUCGUAGUUGAAUUUCGGGAUUGACACAUCGGUCGUGCCUUAAGGGGUAUGAACUGGUGUAGUCAGUUUCUCACCUUCUGGAGAACCGCGAUGUCCUUAAUUGGGUGCCGCGAGGAACCAGGACCUUUACUUUGAAAAAAUUAGAGUGUUUAAAGCAGGCAUUUUGCUUGAAUACAUUAGCAUGGAAUAAUAAAAUAGGACGGAUGGUUCUAUUUUGUUGGUUUCUAGGAUCACCGUAAUGAUUAAUAGGGAUAGUUGGGGGCAUUAGUAUUCAAUUGUCAGAGGUGAAAUUCUUGGAUUUAUUGAAGACUAACUACCGCGAAAGCAUUUGCCAAGGAUGUUUUCAUUAAUCAAGAACGAAAGUUAGGGGAUCGAAGACGAUCAGAUACCGUCGUAGUCUUAACCAUAAACUAUGCCGACUAGGAAUCAGACGAUGUUAAUUUUUUAAUGACCCGUUUGGCACCUUACGGGAAACCAAAGUGUUUGGGUUC